UAUAUGGGGAGAGAACGCAUCAGCUGCGUCGCCGAAGGAGCAAGUAAUUACUAUUAUGAAUCUCUCAGGCAAAAGAACU
rnacentral:ncRNA from 1 species